rnacentral:rRNA from 1 species
AUUGAACGCUGGCGGCAUGCCUUACACAUGCAAGUCGAACGGUAACGGGCCUUCGGGUGCCGACGAGUGGCGAACGGGUGAGUAAUAUAUCGGAACGUACCUUCCAGUGGGGGAUAACGUAGCGAAAGUUACGCUAAUACCGCAUAUUCUGUGCGCAGGAAAGCAGGGGACCUUCGGGCCUUGCGCUGAUUGAGCGGCUGAUAGCAGAUUAGCUAGUUGGUGAGGUGAAGGCUCACCAAGGCGACGAUCUGUAGCGGGUCUGAGAGGAUGAUCCGCCACACUGGAACUGAGACACGGUCCAGACUCCUACGGGAGGCAGCAGUGGGGAAUUUUGGACAAUGGGGGCAACCCUGAUCCAGCCAUGCCGCGUGAGCGAAGAAGGCCUUCGGGUUGUAAAGCUCUUUCGGCCGGGAAGAAAUCGUAUGGGCUAAUACCCUGUGCGGAUGACGGUACCGGCAUAAGAAGCACCGGCUAACUACGUGCCAGCAGCCGCAGUAA